GAUGAACGCUGGCGGCGUGCCUAAUACAUGCAAGUCGAGCGAACGGACGAGAAGCUUGCUUCUCUGAUGUUAGCGGCGGACGGGUGAGUAACACGUGGAUAACCUACCUAUAAGACUGGGAUAACUUCGGGAAACCGGAGCUAAUACCGGAUAAUAUUUUGAACCGCAUGGUUCAAAAGUGAAAGACGGUCUUGCUGUCACUUAUAGAUGGAUCCGCGCUGCAUUAGCUAGUUGGUAAGGUAACGGCUUACCAAGGCAACGAUGCAUAGCCGACCUGAGAGGAUGAUCGGCCACACUGGAACUGAGACACGGUCCAGACUCCUACGGGAGGCAGCAGUAGGGAAUCUUCCGCAAUGGGCGAAAGCCUGACGGAGCAACGCCGCGUGAGUGAUGAAGGUCUUCGGAUCGUAAAACUCUGUUAUUAGGGAAGAACAGAUGUGUAAGUAAAUGUGCACAUCUUGACGGUACCUAAUCAGAAAGCCACGGCUAACUACGUG
rnacentral:rRNA from 1 species